rnacentral:rRNA from 13 species
AAUAAGUGCACAUGGUGGAUGCCUUGGCGAUUACAGGCGAUGAAGGACGUAGUAGCUUGCGAUAAGCUGCGGGGAGCUAGCAAACGAGCUUUGAUCCGCAGAUUUCCGAAUGGGGAAACCCGGCCUUUUAGGUCAUUGCAUACUGAAUACAUAGGUAUGCAAAGCGAACGCGGCGAACUGAAACAUCUAAGUAGCUGCAGGAAAAGAAAUCAACCGAGAUUCCCAAAGUAGUGGCGAGCGAAAUGGGAAGAGCCUGUAUGUGAUAGUCGACUGGAUAGUGGAACGGAUUGGAAACUCCGGCCAUAGAGGGUGAUAGCCCCUUACACGAAAUUCAGACGGUGGUACUAAGCAUACGACAAGUAGGGCGGGACACGAGAAAUCCUGUCUGAACAUGGGGGGACCAUCCUCCAAGGCUAAAUACUCGUAAUCGACCGAUAGUGAACCAGUACCGUGGGGGAAAGGCGAAAAGAACCCCUGUGAGGGGAGUGAAA